GGCCAAGAAUCUCACUUUCUUAUUUUCUCUGUUGUGCGCACCAUUGGGGGGAAGAUACCAAAGUCUAAGAUUUGUUUUCCUUGCUGAACUUUUGUACAGAUUGUGAGCUAACUGUAUCACUCUUUCCUUCUCCUCAUGCGCUGUGAAAAGAAGCCUCAAGGCUGACUGCUAACCUUCCUAUUCAGAAUCACCAUUUUUCCUUCCAUUUACCGCUCCACAAACCGUGAGCUUUCCCUAAGAGAGAACUCAACAUCAAAACUUCUGUUCCCUUCCCUGUCUUACUCGACCAAGCUGCAACCAGAGGAGACUUUGUGCCCUCCAUUUUCUUGAUUCGCUGUUACUCUCUUCGUUUAGAAGGGGACCUCCUUGCUGGCAGAUUGGGAAUCCAAAUUCUGCUCAUGACCUCACUGCCCCUCUUGGGUUCGGCUGAAGACCCUCACUCGUGGAGAUAAACUCGACCUCUUGGGACGUUGGAAGGCAUAGGAUGGCGUUGUCAAAUUUGGGGUUGUGGGGUGUAUACGAUAAGGUGCGCAUAAUUAUUAAAGUGUGGGCUGGUUUUGGUGCCGUUGAUUAUUGCGUGGACACAAGGUUCAGCUAAUCCAGGGGUUGAGAUCUCUAACGGCAGGAGGUCGGAGCUUAGUUGAUUGAUAUAUGCUGUAUGUUGACAUGACUGGAUACUGGAUGCUAUUUAUGUUUACUUUACUUUUGAUGAUUAUUGAGUUGAGACGCUGUUGGGCUUUGUUGCCUUAUUUGGUGAGCAUGGGGUUUGUCCAUGCCACAUUGAUGUUAGUAUGUUGUAGUUGAGUUGUAUGAACUUUCAAGAUAUUGUCUGGUCUACGUGUUGUAGUUCCGUGACUCGAGACAUAUUUAUUAUAUAUUUA